UACGGGGGGGGCAAGCGUUGUUCGGAAUUACUGGGCGUAAAGGGCUCGUAGGCGGCCAACUAAGUCAGACGUGAAAUCCCUCGGCUUAACCGGGGAACUGCGUCUGAUACUGGUUGGCUAGAGUGCGGGAGAGGAGAGUGGAAUUCCUGGUGUAGCGGUGAAAUGCGCAGAUAUCAGGAAGAACACCCGUGGCGAAGGCGGCUCUCUGGAACGCAACUGACGCUGAGACGCGAAAGCGUGGGGAGCAAACAGG
rnacentral:rRNA from 1 species